UACGGAGGGUGCAAGCGUUAUCCGGAUUCACUGGGUUUAAAGGGUGCGUAGGCGGGCAGGUAAGUCCGUGGUGAAAUCUCUGAGCUUAACUCAGAAACUGCCAUGGAUACUAUUUGUCUUGAAUAUUGUGGAGGUAAGCGGAAUAUGUCAUGUAGCGGUGAAAUGCUUAGAUAUGACAUAGAACACCAAUUGCGAAGGCAGCUUACUACACAGUAAUUGACACUGAGGCACGAAAGCGUGGGGAUCAAACAGG
rnacentral:rRNA from 1 species